rnacentral:lncRNA from 1 species
GGCUUGUUUUUUUUAUUUCAGAUUAUAAUAUCACAUAUUAUACUCAUACAUAAACAUAAUCAUAAUAAAAAACAAAUUUAAGAACAGAAAGGGAAGGCAUUAACUUAGGUAGGUAGAAGAUAACGUGAGUGAGACUCAAGUGAUCAAAGUGCAAUAAUUGAAAGGUCAUGGAAGGUGUUGUGCACAAUUUCCAAGCCUUCUGAUGUUCUAGCUGUGCUUGUAGAAAAAGAUAUCCAGAUCAAUCUUAUAGCACGUUCCAAUCUUGCCCUAGUGGAAAGUGUUAAUUCCCUAUUGAACACUAUCUGAGAAAUUCUGAACAAGAAUAAGUUUGAUCGAUAAAGUGCUUCAUUUCUGAAGAGCUUGAAGGAACUCAUCAACAAUUUAAGUAGCACUGAAUAAGCAAAAGUAGCUGCUGUAGCGCUUAAAGUGUGGCUGCUAAGUUGCCAAUGAAGUUUUGCUAUAGCCAUCACCACCAUAUGCACCCCCAUGUGUACCAGUUUGGAGGAUUAAAC